UGUGCAAGAAAGCAGAAAACAAGUAUGGGGGAGAUCCCUCAACAUGCCAAACACACUCCGACUACACCACUCCACGAUUCAGGUACACACUCUGUGCACUUUACUUUACACAUACAUUUAUUCUGGACUAUGCAGAUUACUGUUUCUGACAUGAUAAAAUAAAAGGAUUAAAAUAUUUUUAAUCAUGAUUAAUCUCAAUCUGUGAUAUUUCCUGAAAACUUGCAAUUAUUAUAAAAUCAUUUUAAAACCCUGUGUUACUAAAGUCAAUAUGGAAUAUGUGAUGGUAGAGUAUGAGUUUCUUAUUCUUGAUAUCAUUGUUGCUUGGAGAAUUUAUUUCAAAAUAUUCAAAAUUCUAGCUACCAUCCUCAGUGUUUUAUAUGCCUGAUAAAACUAAAAUAUUAAUUAUGAUUAUGAAAGCUAUCUGCUCUGUAUUGAGUUUGUUCAAAAUGAGUUAGACCCUUGUUGAGAGAUUUAUCAUGCUCCUAAGAUCAAGACACUAUUUCAGUAAGAUUCACUCUUCCGAAGUAUUAUUGCGUUAGAGGCAUGGGCUAUUCAAAAAUAGAAGAUAUUUCGAGGAAAUAAAAAGGAGCAAGUGCUCGACAACCUCGCAGAAAAAAUGGACAAGUGUCCGGCAGUAGAAUUAGGGGUACCUCGGUAUCCACUUAAAAAAAAGAGAAAAAAAUGAUAGCCCAUGGUCCCUCUAAUAAGCAAUAUGCCAGUAAGAGUUGACAAAGUUUUUAAUUUCUAAAGUCUUUGAUCUAAGAGUAUGACAUUCCCCUCCUCGGAUCCCGUUUUGAUCAGGCAAUAAAUGCAAAGUAAGAAUGCUUGAGAAUUUUUGCAAAAUUAAAACAGCCUCAGUGAGAUAUAUAUAAAAGAUAAUGAGUGAUCUGAGAGAACCUAUGAGGAUAAAAAGGUAUGCUAACUUUCUUUCAAAAAUAUACAAAACCUCCAAGUGACAGGAUUGAGAAGAAAGGAUCUUUACUCUUAAUCAUACACUUCCCUGACUAUGGUACAUAGUGGAAUUUUUAACACCCUGCAAUUAUAAAGAGAAUGUUUUAAACGUUUACCCCAGAUAUUUUUCUUAACCAUCCUUUUCUCGAGGACGAGUAAAAGCCUAAGUAUGGGGGUAUUUGUUGACGGUUCUUAAGUAUCAAUUUUAAUUAUCAAAUAAACAAGAGAAAGGACCAAUAUGCAACUCACACAUAGAAUUAGGGUUUGAUCUGACAGAAUUCCACGAGUUUUGUUGUUUAUCUAUUUCUGCAGGGGGUUAUCAGGAAAUAAGGAAGAAAGGCCCACAUGUCAGGAUUACAUAGAGAUAUCAACGCACCAUGCAAUUUUACAUCAUCUAGAAGACUCCAGAAGCCACGAGACCGAAGCGGAGGCAAAACUGGGCCAGGCCCAGGGCGCCCGCCCUGGUAGCCUGGGCGCCCCCCCUCUUCUGGAGCCAAAUCAGGACUCCUUCGCUCGGGAUAUUCCACCGACCUAUUGGAUCAAGAAAAACAUAGUACCACCUCGGCUAUCAACCCAAAAACGCAUAGAAGGGGAGGACUAUAUAAGCGAGGCCGCCUGGCCCCUGGAGAGGACAUGAAGAAAUUAUCAUAGAGACUGAGGGGUGCCCUCGAAGGAAAACCUGUUCUCUAAUUAAUAUUUCUUUUUAGGCUUAGCAAUCAAUGUAAGGUAGAAAUAGAUCUUCUAGUUUCUACUAGAUUGAGAGAGAUAGAGUGGAGGUGUAGAGUGGAGGAAACCCGGCCUGUCGGUGUCUACUCCAAGCUUGUACCUG
rnacentral:lncRNA from 1 species